UACGGAGGGUGCGAGCGUUGUCCGGAAUCACUGGGCGUAAAGGGCGCGUAGGCGGCUGGGGAAGUCGGCGGUGAAAGCCCGGAGCUCAACUCCGGGUCGGCCGUCGAGACUCCUCGGCUCGAGCUCACUAGAGGCAGAUGGAAUUCCGGGUGUAGCGGUGGAAUGCGUAGAGAUCCGGAAGAACACCGGUGGCGAAGGCGGGUCUCUGGGCAGUAACUGACGCUGAGGAGCGAAAGCGUGGGGAGCGAACAGG
rnacentral:rRNA from 1 species